UCUGCACUCAGCUUCAGCCCCCCCGGGGAGCUGCAAGACAGAGUGAGACCCUGAUAGGUUUGGCUAUCAGGGUUUUGGCUAACCUCAUCUUGAGUUGUAAUCCUCAUGUGUCAAGGGGGGAACCUGGUGGGAGGGGAUUGGAUCCGGGAGCAGUUUCUCCCAUGCUGUUCUCCUGACAGUGAGUGAGUUCUCAGGAGAGCUGAUGGUUUUAAUGUGUGGCACUUCCUUGUUCUUCCACUCACUCUCUCCUGCCGCCUUAUAAAGAAGGUGCCUGCUUCCCCUUUGCCUUCUGCUAUGAUUAUAAGUUUCCUGAACUGUGAGUCAGCUAAACCUCUUUCCUUUAUAAAUUACCCAGUCUCUGGUAUUUCUUUGUAGCAGAGUGAAAAUGAACUAAUGCAGACCACGCCUCUGAAGUUCCUUCUGCUGAGGCCACAGGAUGCAGCCCCCUCCUUUGCCCCGUGGUCUUUCUUCUCCCCUCAUUAGGCCCAGGUGAUCUGCAUGGCCAGCCCCAGCCCCAUCCUGCUGCAGACCUGUCAGGCUGGUAGAGAUGCUGGGCUCCUUUCCUGUCCCUGAGGCUGACUGAUAUGCUCUGUGGAUCCUGGAGGAAAUUGACCCCCUGCUCCCGUACUGGUAGCAACUUCUUCCAAGACUUCAACGUGAGCCAGUCUUUUUCAUUGUCUCCACUUGCUAGGGAUGGUACUAGAGGUGGGCCAGUGGAGGAAUGGAUGGAUAAUCCAAAAAGGAUGUCCCUGUCUGUCCCGAACUGGACCCUUUCUCCAAGGAGAAGCCUUCCUGAGUCCUGGCCCCUUCCUGGGAGUCAGCCCCACAGGAAGGCCCUUGUCCUCCCUUCCCGUGGCUUCUCCCAGGCUGAGACCCGGGGUGGAUGGGGACAGAGCCAGUGGACUCCUGGACCGGGAUGGCUCCAGGCCCUGUGCAGGUUGUCAGCUCUGCCUGGGGUGCCUUCCAGUGAUGGAGCUGCCCCCGUCAGUACCCUGGGGGUGAAGUUUACGGAAAUUUCAAGGUGA
rnacentral:lncRNA from 1 species